UAACAAUUAGUCCAGAUAGGCGGAGGAAAUGAAGGUGCGAUUCCUUCUGCUGCCCCGCAACGGUAAUUCCCGCAUCAUAACGGUGUCGGCGAGCCCGGACGAUUGCCUAUCAAGGAAGUAUUCU
rnacentral:ncRNA from 1 species